GACGCGGUGGCCUAAUGGUUAGCGCGCUGGACUCCGGAUCGAGCGGUCCGCCGGGUUCAAGCCCUGGCCGGGGUCA